rnacentral:lncRNA from 1 species
CAAUCCCGGACUGGAAGAUCUCCUGCUCUGGUAGUACUUGUUUUCUGUACACCUGCCUUUUGAUUUUGGGAAGAUUUCAAACAUACUCAACUUCUGCAGUUUUUUAUGUCGUGAAUGCAGGGUUUCAUGAAGAGCGAGAAGUUGUGCCAGUGGGAUAAGGUGGGUUCCCCUGUGCUCCUUUGAUUAAUGCUUCAUUUGUUGUCAAAUCUACGGCUGCUCAGCUCUAUAUCUGUAAGCUGUGAUGACACUAUCUGCUUGCUUCUGCAGAAUGGUCACGUGAGCCAUCAGCUAUCACUGCUCUAAGAUGAGACUGCGGCUGUGGCUGCGGCUGCUGGUUCUGUGCUUGAUGAUAAUCCUAUUUGUGGUUUAUAACAUGGAAAGCUACCAACAUAGACAGAUAGCGGUAAUGCUCGAUCGUUUCUAAAAUUCCCUGUUAUAUUCUGCUCGAGAGACGAUGCUCAUCUGAUUAUAUGUUGUUACAGUUGGAUGAAGACUAGCCCAUUUGACACGAUGAUGGUAUGUGAACCCAUUACCUCCAUCAAAAGGAUCAAUUUGGUUAGUUUGCUGCGGUAGUCUUGAAGCUGAUAGUAAUUUGUUGCUGAGGCGUUGACUGUGGCUCCAUUGUACAUAUCAGGAGUCUGGCAGGGCUGCUGUUUAGGUAUAUGGGAAUAUGAUUGUUCAUAUGCAGAGGAAUUGGUAAAAGAGAACAAGCGGCUUGAUGCUGCAUUUUCUCAGGUGUAGAGGUUUGCCCAUCAAGCAAUGGUAGCUGGAGGAACGUAGUUCUUACUCGCAAGAGUGAAACA